CUCUUCCUUCCCAACCAAACAUGUUUUAACUUCCUCUCUCUCUCUCUCUCUCUCUCUCUCUCUCUCUCUCAGUACAUGGAUGUCUUUCUCAAGGUGUAUUUAGUCAUUAUCUUCAGAGAAGUGAACCUGCAAAUGAAUAAAAUGGGUGGUGUUCUUUCAAAGGUAGCUUGUACCAAGUAGCUUUCUUCUGUCAAAUUUUCUCUUUCUCAGAAGCUAGGGUUUUCUCAGUGCAAUUCAAGCCACAAAUGUUCCCUUCCACAAAUAGUAUCAGUCCUUUUCCACAUCUCUCCUCCUCUUUUUACGACCUUUCUCCUUACAUUAUUGACCAUGAAGCUAAUGAUCUUUUCCUUCAACAUCACCAUCCACUCACAGUUCCUUCCUUACCAGUCACCGAGACUCUGCUACAAACACCAGCUUCCAACAAUGCCAUGAUCUCUAAUAUUAAGCAGGAUAUUAAUGUCGGCUUCAGUGGAAAUCAACAUGACCCUCAUGUUUUCCUUCCUGGAAAAAAGCCUGUGAAGAAAGAUAGGCACAGCAAAAUUUACACAGCUCAAGGUCUAAGAGAUCGGAGAGUGAGAUUGUCCAUUGAAAUUGCCCGUAAGUUCUUUGAUCUCCAGGACAUGCUAGGUUUCGACAAAGCAAGUAAAACCCUAGAGUGGUUACUCUCAAAGUCAAAAAAGGCCAUCAAGGAAGUAGCACAGAAUGGAGGUGCCAAAAGUUUGUGUUCAACUUCUGCGUGUGAAGUAGCAUCAGAAAAUGGUGAGCAAAAGGGUAUAGUUUUAAAGAGUGAGUCAUUGGCAGGCCGUGUCUGUAAUGAGAAAAAGACGAAAAGGUUGCAAAAAGCUGCAUCCUCCAAUCUUGUUGCAAAAGAAUCCAGGGCAAAGGCAAGAGCAAGAGCAAGGGAAAGAACAAGAGUUAAAAUGUGCACCAGAAGAUUCCACGAGUCCAAACAUCCUGACCCAACCUCUUCCAACAACUACUUAUCAAGGUCGACCUUGACCCAACAACAUCAGGCUUGUGAUAAAUCUCACAACGGCUUGAAAGUGGUUGCUCUUCCUCAUCAUGAUCAAGUAGAGCAGCCUGACUCCCACUCAUCACUUGCCAAUCUAGUUCCCAAAGGAAACAUUAUUGAGGAGUCAAUAGUGAUCAAAAGGAAGUUGAAGCCAUCUACAAUGACGGAUUAUCAACAAAACCUUGUAAUGUUAAAAGAAGUAACUUGCAACAACAGCAACUUGCCCAAUUUGCCCCAAAAUUGGGACAUUAACAGUGCAAUUGCACGCUCUAGCUUCUGCGCUAUUACCAACGUAAACAGAUCUAAAGGACUGCAUCUCUAUGGCUAGCUCUGGGAGGCUGAAAACAAUAGUCAAUGUCUACGCCAAUACGGCGUAUAAGCAUUAACGAUGAAAGCUUAACAUCAACAUCCAGAAACAGACCAAUUAGAAGAAAUGGAAACUCACUGCUUACUCAAAGCAACAUGCAUGGGACAUCAAAGUUAAGAAUAUAUAGCAGUCCAUUAAUCCAAAAUGAUUACAGGUAUGUCAAAUUAAGUUGACUGAAUGUUAUGUUCAGAGGUUGAAUGUGGACUUUGGACUACCAAGAUAGGGACCUGGAAAUGGAACUACAAACCAUCAAAAGGUUUUAUGUAUUUAGCUUAUCAUAGUAAUUAAGGUUCUUGCUGAAAAUUUAUACCCAAUUACCUAAUUCUUUGGAUCUUUAAGACAUUAAAAAUUUCGGUGAUGUUCUGAAGGUGAUCACUAAAUUUAAUGAUACAGGGAUUCAGUGUGGUA